CUUAGGCAGUAGAUGGUCCACUGAAAACACUUCUUGGGAUGUUGAUAAAAAGUAUUGGUUUUCUUAUCAACUGGACUACAUCCUAAUAUCAAAAAGACAGAAGAGAAGAACAUGUAGUGUGCAAGAAGAAUUGUCAAUUUCCAUAAAUUACACAUUAUGACUGAAAAAUACUAAAAAUCAGAAAACACUAGUCUUGUUGAACAGUUUGUCACAGAAAAGCAAUCUCUAUAGUAUUUGUAAAGUUGAUUAUUAAAAUAAAUUCUUGAUAAUAUUGA